GACGAACGCUGGCGGCGUGCCUAAUCCAUGCAAGUCGAGCGGAGUUGAUGAGGUGCUUGCACCUCUGAAGCUUAGCGGCGGACGGGUGAGUAACACGUAGGUAAACUGCCUGUACGACUGGGAUAACCUACGGAAACGUGAGCUCAUACCAGACAGGAGAGACUCCCGCAUGGGAGAUUCGAGAAAGGAGGAGCAAUCGGCCACUGACCGGUGGACCUGCGGCGCAUUAGAUAGUUGGUGGGGUAACGGCCUACCAAGGCGACGCAGCGUAGGCGACCUGGGAUGGUAAUCAGCCACACUGGGACUGAGACACGGCCCAGACUCCUACGGGAGGCAACAGAAGGGAAUCUUCCGCAAUUGGCGAAAGCCUGACGUAGCAACGCCGCGUGAGUGAUGAAGGCCUUCGGGUCGUAGAGCUCUGUUUCCAAGGAAAAACAGCCAAGAGAGUAACUGCUCUUGGAAUGACGGUACUUGAGAAGAAAGCCCCGGCUAACUACGUGCCAGCCGCCGCCGUAACAC
rnacentral:rRNA from 1 species